UGAAUGCUGAUCAUAAAAGAGGCUGGAGCAAGAUCUACU
rnacentral:sRNA from 1 species